rnacentral:tRNA from 1 species
UCCCCUGUGGCUCAGUUGGCUAGAGCGUUGGACUGUUAAUCCAAAGGUCGGAAGUUCGAGCCUUCCCGGGGGAG